UACGUAGGGUGCGAGCGUUGUCCGGAAUUAUUGGGCGUAAAAGAGCUCGUAGGCGGUGUGUCACGUCGGCCGUGAAAACCUGCAGCUUAACUGGUGGGCGUGCGGUCGAUACGGGCAUCACUGGAGUUCGGCAGGGGAGACUGGAAUUCCUGGUGUAGCGGUGAAAGUGCGCAGAUAUCAGGAGGAACACCGGAGUCGGCGAAGGCGGGUCUCUGGG
rnacentral:rRNA from 1 species